UGAGUAGCGAAUGACGUGUGAGAAACACGUCCUCCGAAAGACCAAGGGUUCCAGGGUCAAGCUAAUCUUCCCUGGGUAAGUCGGGACCUAAGGCGAGGCCGACAGGCGUAGUCGAUGGACAACGGGUUGAUAUUCCCGUACCGGCGAAGAA
rnacentral:rRNA from 1 species